GUCGAGAAUCUUCGGCAAUGGGCGCAAGCCUGACCGAGCGACGCCGCGUGGAGGAUGAAGGCCUUCGGGUUGUAAACUCCUGUCGAGGGGGAGGAAGGCGCAAGCUUGACCGAUCCCUGGAGGAAGCACGGGCUAAGUUCGUGCCAGCAGCCGCGGUAAGACGAACCGUGCGAACGUUAUUCGGAAUCACUGGGCUUAAAGCGCGUGUAGGCGGAUGCGAACGUCGGCUGCUGAAAUCCCCCGGCUUAACCGGGGAACUGGCACCGAUACGGCGCGUCUGGAGGGGGGUAGGGGGGCCUGGAACUUCCGGUGGAGCGGUGAAAUGCGUUGAGAUCGGAAGGAACGCCCGUGGCGAAAGCGAGGCCCUGGACCCUUACUGACGCUGAGACGCGAAAGCCAGGGGAGCGAACGGG
rnacentral:rRNA from 1 species